rnacentral:lncRNA from 1 species
UGAAACAAACUUCUAUGGUUGAGGAAUGAAAGGAGGGAAGGGAGGGAAGAAUCCAAAUUUAGGAUGUUGGAAAGGAGGAAGGUUGGGGAGUGGAGGGCAGGGUUUCUUAUAGAAUGGUGGGAGUGGUUUAUAAAUUGGAAUUGGAGGUGGAAGUGGCUUUACUAUUGGAGGAAUGUAAAUUGGUGGCUUUGGCUUGUAGAUUGGAAUUGGAGGUGGAAGUGGCUUUACUAUUGGAGGGAUGUAAAUUGGUGGCUUUGGCUUGUAGAUUGGAACUGGUGGUGGUAGUGGCUUUACUACCGGGGGUAUGUAAACCGGUGGCUUUGGCUUGUAGGUUGGAACUGGUGGUGGUAGUGGCUUUAUUAUCGGAGGUAUGUAAAUCGGUGGCUUUGGCUUUGGUUUGUAGAUAGGAACUGGUGGUGGAAGAGGCUUUACUACCGGAGGUUUGUAAACUGGUGGCUUUGGCUUUGGUUUGUAGAUUGGAACUGGUGGUGGAAGCGGCUUUACUGGAGGCUUUGGCUUGUAAAUAGGGACAGGUGGAGGAAGUGGCUUUGG